rnacentral:rRNA from 1 species
CCUACGGGCGGCAGCAGUGAGGAAUAUUGGUCAAUGGGCGCGAGCCUGAACCAGCCAAGUCGCGGGAGGGAGGACGGCCCUACGGGUUGUAAACCUCUUUUGCCGGGGAGCAACGGGCGUCACGUGUGGCGCCACUGAGAGUACCCGGAGAAAAAGCAUCGGCUAACUCCGUGCCAGCAGCCGCGGUAAUACGGAGGAUGCGAGCGUUCUCCGGCUGUAGUGGGGUUAAAGGGUGCGUAGGCGGAGCGUUAAGUCAGUGGCCAAGUUGAGGGGCUCAACCCCUUCCCGCCAUGGAAACUGGCGGUCUGGAGUGGAAGAGAAGUGUGCGGAAGGGGGGGUGGAGCGGUGAAAGGCAGAG